GGAAUCAAACUUGAUAAUUUAUUAAUCAAGAUUUGACAUCAAUACUAUUGAAAAUGGUUAAAUGCUUAAUGUCAGUUCUAAAUUAACUUGUCUUGUUAAGAUGAUAGAUUAUAUUAUCUAAUCAUGCUUGCUUUCAUGAGUUAGAAACUGAUUAAGAUUAAUGCAUACUGCUUUGUAUUGUUGCAUUUAGAUUAAAAUCUAAGUUGCAUAAAAUUGCCUAAAUACUUUGACUUGAAUCUGAUAAGGUCUUGCUUAGUAUUUAGAGAAUGGUUGCUUGCAUAGAUAAGAACUUGACAUUGUCUUGAUUCUAUCUAAUGUUAUAAAGCUUGAGACCUUGGUGAUCAAACUUGAUGAAGUCAAGGAUUGAUCCCAAUGCAAUUGUGACUUAUCUUUGCUAGAGUUUGAGUGAUGUUUCAGGUUCACAAAAGGUGUUCCUAGUUCAUCAUCAAAUCCGAGUUGAGAGAAAAAGAAUGGUGCCCAUUGUGUGUACAAUGGAGAAGUGUUACAAAAAGGGAGAAGCACAGAUGGUUGUAAAACUCACUGGUGUUCUUCUCCUUAACAUUGCAAGUACCUGAAGAAGAAGCUAACCGGGUCUAGGCAGUGGCGUGCCUAUUCAAGAGGAUGCUCAAACUAAGACAGAGCACUCUUGGCUGUGUGAAGAAGAAGGCUACUCUAUCAAGGCGGCUUCUAUUGUGAGGUGAUUGAAGAAGUAGCUGAAGCAUCCACAAGCAUUCCAUCAUGGUGGCAAAUUCAGAAGGGUGAUUGCAAUAAGAGAAGAAGAAGAAGUGAGGAUUCAAGUGGCAACGAACACUCCUCAUCACCUUAAACAAGGGAGUAAACCUAGUCUCAUCUAUCUUAAUAUGUCUUGAUAGGUUUAUCUCCUGAUUAUACUAUGUGCUUUCCCUAAUUCCAUUAAGAGUUUAUAGCUUCUAAGUAUAAUGUCUAGGCUAAUUUCACUGAGAUUGUUUUGCUGCUGCAUUGUCUUAUUGAUAGUAAGUAAUGUCUAGAGUCCCAGAAUCUCAUGUUCUGCUUAUUGCAUUGUCUUGAGUGUUGUCAUAGCUUGAAUCAUCAUGAAUGUGUUGUAGAAUUGAGUAGAAUGUCUCUGCUGCUUGCAUCAUGAUUGAUAAGUUAUUUUGCAUACAUAAGCAUAUCUCAUACUGUCUAAGUUCAAUCCUAGUGUUAUCUGAUGCUAUUGCCUAUGUUUAAUCCAUCAAUGAAAGUCUUGCAUCAAUUAGAAAUUGUCUAAGUUGCUUGCAUCAUUGGUUCUGAUUGAAACUGUUGUGCAGAGCUUUAAUAUUACUCAUGGAUUGAACCUGUUGCAUUCAUAUAGCUAAUGCUUUAAGAUUGUGCAUUCAUGUAGUAAUGCAUUUAAAAAUGAGCCUAAAUUGCAAUUGUACUGAUAUAAGCUUUGCAUUUAGAGAACUGUAUAGAACUUGCAUUGUCAUUGUUAGAAAUUGAAAUCUGCUUGUCUUGACUCAGUCCAGUUCUGAUUGUUGCUAUGCCAUAGUUAAAUCCAUCAGUGAUGUCUUAUAAGCAUUUAGAAGUAUGUCUAAGCUACUUGAAUCAUUGGCUUUGAUAAAACUAGUGAGCAUAAGCAUGAACUGAGUCACUCUUGUCGCCUUAAUUGCAUAAAUAUCAUCUAGACUUGUGUUCCAUUUGGAUUGAAUCUGUUUCAUUCAUAUAGUUAGUGUAACCUAAUGCAUUCAUCUAUUGUUGCAUUUUAAAAAAAACUGAAUUGAUUGUCUUUGCUUGAUUGUCUUGAUUGUCUAGCUUGUUUCAAGUAUCAUAUAUUAUUGUGGCAUUGGUGAUCAAACAGGAUGGAUGAUCUUGGUUUGAUCCCAAUGGGAUGAUCUGAUCUUGCAUUGAGUUGUGGUGGUGUUAGGUACACAAGGGAAGUGAUACAUGUAACUCGCCAUCAACCAAGAAUGUAGAGACAAAGGUCUUGUGCCAUUACAUAUCAUCACUUGGACAUGUUAGUCCAUAAUCUACAGGAAGUGUAGUGUGAUUGAUUAUGCAAUGAGAGAUGGCCAUUGCAUAAUACCAUUGGACAUAUCUAGUCCUUAGUCUACAGGAAGUGUAGCAUGGGUCAUUAUGCAAUGAGAGAUUUGUCUUGUGAGACUCUCUAUGGUGAUUCAAACACCCUAAUUCCUGGUUAAGGAAGAGAGAAAACUCACAAGAAGAAAGCUAUCAUAAAAGAUGAAAGUUAUUAGACCAUGGAGAUGCAUAGGAUCAUCACAAGCUUAGCUCCUUCUAGUCUUGGUUCUAAGCUUGAGGGGGAGUCUUAAUGCAUAUGAUCCAUGGUCAGUAACAAGUCUUUGCAAAGACUUCUACAAGGAUCAUCAACCGGACCAAGUCAGUGGCGUGUCUAGGCAAGAGGCUGUUCAGAGCAGUCUUGGCAAGUGAGGAAGAAGGCUCUCCAUCAAUGCGGCUUCAAUGAGAGGUGAUUGAGGAGAAGCUGAUGAAUCCAUUCUGCCUUUCCAAGAAGUUGAUGAUGCCAUGAAGAUGGUGCAUUGGCCGAGUUAGGAAACUCACAAAAACACAAGGGAAGUUCCUUUAGACUUUUAAAAACUCUUUUCAAUCCUUUUCAUUCAUCUUAGUCAUUGCUUGUGUUUGAAAAGAUACUGAAAAUGUUUAUGAUUGAACUGUGAGAUUGUGUACAUCAAUUGGGAUGCAGGAUAUUCAUUUUGUUGGUGUUGAUAGGUACUGAUGCACCUUUGGGAUAAUGUAUCAGGUACCAUUGCUUGAGCCUCACUAAAGAUGUUCCGGGUCAUCUCUUAGCUUCUCUAAAGAGGCUGUGAAGUCAGUUGAGAGGGGGAGACUUCAAACCGGUUCCAUGAAGAGGUGAAGCUGAGUUGUUUAGUGCGCAAGGUCUUGAUGAGUUGCUGCACCAGUUUAGGCCGUGAUCCAGAACUUCUUGUGUCCAACCACGCUGGUUCUAAGGCACAAGAGUUCACUGGCCAAUCCCUAGGCUUUGGAGAGCUCUACUCUUUUUCCCUUGCAAGGUUUUGUCCCAAUGGGUUUUCCUUGUAAGGUUUUUAAUGAGGGAGACUCUUCAGAGUUCCAAGCUUGGCUUAGGAUCUCCUAAAGUCAAGCUUGAGGGGGAGUGUUGAACUGAAGAGAAGAUAGAGCUUGUACAAUAAUAGGGCAAGCUCUAGAAGAUGUCAAGACGAGUUCAAUCAAGCUUCAGAAGUGUUCUGAAGUAGUUAUCUUGGGAAGUUAAGUCUAGGGAAGACUAAGACUGAUCAUGUGAAGGCUUUGGAGGAGUUAGAGAGAAGAUGGUCCAAGGUGCAAUUAUAGGGCGGCCUUGUACGGCCUGGUACGGCCAAGGGCGAACCAAAGAAGAUGGUGGAUCGACCAAAGAAGUGAGAAAGAGUGUUGGGCAAAUAUAGGGCGAGUGGUACGGACAGGAGGUCCGUACCAUCGACCGUACUGCCAAUCAUCUCGCCCACACAUCCGGUUUAAGCAAUGUUGAAGAAGUGCAAAGUCUGGGCGUGUUUAUCUUGGCUAUGAGGACCGUUGGGAGCUACAGGAAACAAAGGGAAUAUCCCUUAGGAUCAGAGUGAUCCAAGAGACAGGCUGGAAAGAGAAAAGCACUUUACCUUUCCAGCCACCUUUCCACAUGAGUCCAUCUUAGCCUUUCAUUCAAAAUGGAUCAAUCCCACCUUCCAUUCAGUCAAGGCACGACCACACUUUCCAGCUAGCAUCAAGACCAGUCUACUCUCAUCCUAGCCAUCCAUUCUAUCAUUUAUUUACAACCUUAGGAUGUAGGGUUUAUGAGUGUAAUGUAAAGGCAUAUAAAAGCCUUGUAUAUGUGAUUGUAAACACUUAAGUGAGUAAGGGGGUUUCCCUUCUCCUUCUCUAAUCUGAAACACUUUCUCUUAGUCUCUCUAGUCUCCCAUCCUGAAUCUCUAUACACGUUCUCAGUCUUGUUACUAAUCUCUUAAACACUUAGACACACAAACACUCAUCAAACUUCCUUUCUCUCAAAUCGCUUCCAAGCUCUCUCUCUUUACCCAUUUGGGUUUCAUACACACAUACAACCUGAGUACUCUUAAAUCUCAUAUAAGUUACCUUCUCAUCUCAUCAGAUAACUUCCCAAGUAGUUACUGUGGUUAAAAUAAAGUUACCACAGUAAAACUCUAAAGUUACUGUCUCUCCUUGGUCUUCAUCUCAAUAGAUAGCUGGCUCCAAUGAAGCAUGAAGUACUGUCAUUACCAUCAUGUCUUCUUGUUGCCACUUCUCAACAUCACUCUCCGUGGGGCUCUCCUUAUCACUUCCUUGGGUAAUCGCCAUUGGAGCCUCAACCAGAUGUGAUAUGCUUCCACAGACCCUUGCUUCCCACAGCAGUCUUCACCAUCCUAGACCAGACUAGGUAGUUGCUCCCCUUGAAUGUCACCGCGACCUUCAUCUUCAUGCCACUCUCCAUUCUGAACAGCUUGACGUCUACAGCUUGAACUAUGAGAUUUAAGAGUACUCAGGUUGUAUGUGUGUAUGAAACCCAAAUGGGUAAAGAGAGAGAGCUUGGAAGCGAUUUGAGAGAAAUGAAGUUUGAUGAGUGUUUGUGUGUCUAAGUGUUAAGAGAUUAGUAACAAGACUGAGAACGUGUAUAGAGAUUCAGGAUGAGAGAGAGACUAGAGAGACUAAGAAAGUGUUUCAGAUUAGAGAAGGAGAAGGGAAAACCCCUUACUCACUUAAGAGUUACAAAACAUCACUUAUGAGCUUAUAUAUGCUCUUUACAACUUGCAAUCAUAAACCUAAAUCUAAGGGCUGUUAUAACUUGAAUUUAAAUGAAUGGAUGAGAUGGAGAGAUGGUCUUGGUCGUGGCUGUGCUGUUCCUGAUGGAUAAUUGGUCCAUUUGAAUCUGGUCAAGGAAGGCUGGCUCCUUAUUGGCUAGCUAAAGGCUCCCAUGAAUCUGCCCACUUCUUUUGCUAGAUACAUGGUCUCCUUUUGCUUUUACUUUACAGCAAGAGACUCUCCUUUCCAGCCUGUCACUCGCCAGCCUCUCCUUUGUCUUCUUCUCUUAAGAGUUUCACCAGUGCCCUAUUUUGCACCAACUUCAAAUGUGCUCAAAUGGUUGACUGGUGAACUUUCGGGAUGUCUCGGUCCGUACGGAUCCGUACGGUCCGUACAACGUCCGUACCAAAUCCGUACAGCCAGUCCCUAAGUUUGCACACUCGCCCAAAUACUCUUCUAAGUCCCUCCUGGACUUGGCCCUAUCUUUGCACCACACUUCCAUCUUCUCUCUAACUCCUUCAAAGCCUCACAUGAUCAGUCUAAGUCUUUCCUAGACUUAUCUUCAGAAGAUAACUUCUUCAGAACACUUCUGAAGCUUGAUUGAACUCUUCUAGACAUCUUCUAGAGCUUGCCCUAUCAUUGUACAAGCUCCAUCUUCUCUUCAGUUCAACACUCCCCCUCAAGCUUGACUUUAGGAGAUCCUAAGCCAAGCUUGGAACUCUGAAGAGUCUCCCUCAUUAAAAACCUUACAAGGAAACCCAUUGGGACAAAACCUUGCAAGGGAAAAAGAGUAGAGCUCUCCAAAGCCUAGGGAUUGGCCAGUGAGCUCUUGUGCCUUAGAACCAGUGUGGUUGGACACAAGAAGCUCUGGAUCACGGCCUAAUAGGUGCAGCAACUCUUCACAGCUUUGCGCACACUUCACACUUCAGCUUCACCUCUUCAUGGAACCGGUUUGAAGUCUCCCCCUCUCAACUGACUUCUCAGCCAUCUUAGAGAAGCUAGGACACGACCAGAUCAUCUUCAAAACACCAGUGAGGUUGAUCAACACUUCACACACGGCUUUCCCUCUUCAUAGAACUGGUUUGAAUCUCCCCCUCUCAACAGACUUCACAGCCACCUUAGAGAAGCUAGAAAUGACCAGGAACACCUUUAGUGAGGCUCAAGCAAUGGUACCUGAUACAUUAUCCCAAAGGUGCAUCAGUACCUAUCAAAAACAAGAAAAUGAAUAUCCUGCAUCACACUUGAUGCACACAAUCUCACAAUUCAAUCAUAAUCAUUUUACGUAUCUUUUCAAGCACAAGCAAUGAAUAAGAUGAAUAAAAAGGUUUUAAAAGUCUAAGGGAACUUCCCUUGUGUUUUUGUGAGUUUCCUAACUCGGCCAAUGCACCAUCUUCAUGGCAUCACCAACUUCUUGGAAAGGCAGAAUGGAUUCAUCAGCUUCUCCUCAAUCACCUCUCAUUGAAGCCGCAUUGAUGGAGAGCGUUCUUCUUCACUCGCCAAGACUGCUCUGAACAGCCUCUUGCCUAGACACGCCACUAUCUUGGUCCGGUUGAUGAUCCUUGUAGAAGCCUUUGCAAAGACUUGUUACUGACCAUGGAUCAUAUGCAUUAAGACUCCCCCUCAAGCUUAGAACCAAGACUAGAAGGAGCUAAGCUUGUGAUGAUCCUAUGCAUCUCCAUGGUCUAAUAACUAUCAUCUUUUAUGAUAGCUUUCUUCUUGUGAGUUUUCUCUCUUCCUUAACCAGGAAUUAGGGUGUUUGAAUCACCAUAGAGAGUCUCACACGACACGCCUCUCAUUGCAUAAUGAAUCAUGCUACACUUCCUGUAGACUAAGGACUAGAUAUGUCCAAUGGUAUUAUGCAAUGGCCAUCUCUCAUUGCAUACUCAAUCACACUACACUUCCUGUAGAUUAUGGACUAACAUGUCCUAGUGAUGAUAUGCAAUGGCACAAGAUCUUUGUCUUUACAUUCUUGGUUGUUGGCGAGUUUCAUGUAUCACAUUCCUUGUGUACCUAACACCACCACAACUCAAUGCAAGAUCAGAUCAUCCCAUUGGGAUCAAACCAAGAUUAUCCAUCCUGUUUGAUCACCAAUGCCACAAUAAUAUAGGAUACUUGAGACAAGCUAGACAAUCAAGACAAUCAAGCAAAGACAAUCAAUUCAGUUUUGUUUUCUUCUUUUUUUUUUAAAUGCAACAAUAGAUGAAUGCAUUAGGUUACACACUAACUAUAUGAAUGAAACAGAUUCAAUCCAAAUGGAACACAAGUCUAGAUGAUACUUAUGCAAUCAAGACGACAAGAGUGACUCAAUUCAUGCUUAUGCUCACUAGUUUUAUCAAAGCCAAUGAUUCAAGUAGCUUAGACAUACUACUAUUUGCUUAUAAUACAUCACUGAUGGAUUUAACUAUGGCAUAGCAACAAUCAGAACUGGACUGAGUCAAGACAAGCAGAUUUCAAUUUCUAACAAUGACAAUGCAAGUUCUAUACAGUUCUCUAAAUGCAAAGCUUAUAUCAGUACAUUUGCAAUUUAGGCUCAUUUUUAAAUGCAUUACUACAUGAAUGCACAAUCUUAAAGCAUUAGCUAUAUGAAUGCAACAGGUUCAAUCCAUGAGUAAUAUUAAAGCUCUGCACAACAGUUUCAAUCAGAACCAAUGAUGCAAGCAACUUAGACAAUUUCUAAUUGAUGCAAGACUUUCAUUGAUGGAUUAAACAUAGGCAAUAGCAUCAGAUAACACUAGGAUUGAACUUAGACAGUAUGAGAUAUGCUAAGUAUGCAAAAUAACUUAUCAAUCAUGAUGCAAGCAGCAGAGACAUUCUACUCAAUUCUACAACACAUUCAUGAAGAUUCAAGCUAUGACAAUACUCAAGACAAUGCAAUAAACAGAACAUGAGAUUCUGGGACUCUAGACAUUACUUACUAUCAAUAAGACAAUGCAGCAGCAAAACAAUCUCAGUGCAAUUAGCCUAGACAUUCUACUUAGAAGCUAUAAACUCUUAAUGGAAUUAGGAAAAGCACAUAGUAUAAUCAGGAGAUAAACCUAUCAAGACAUAUUAAGAUAGAUGAGACUAGGUUUACUCCCUUGUUUAAGGUGAUGAGGAGUGGUCGUUGCUGUUGAACUGAAGAGAAGAUAGAGCUUGUACAAUAAUAGGGCAAGCUCUAGAAGAUAUCCAGAAGAGUUCAAUCAAGUUUCAGAAGUGAUGAGAAGCUGAUAUAAAGAAGAGAUAAUGAUUUAGAAGGAAUAGAAUCAGAGUUGGGAGAACUUUGGAGGAGUUUGGGAGUUGAUGGAUGAUGGUGCAAAGAUAGGGCGUUGGUGUACGGCAGUGACAUGACCGUACAGCCAUGGAACGUCCCAAGAUAAGAGUACAAAGUCUGGGUUAAAGAUAAGCAUCAAAAGAGCAUCAAGAAGAUGCUGUGUGCUGUGUGAGUUCAAAUGGAGUUGGCGCCUGAUUCUAAUUGGAGUAGGAUGGUCAAAGACAGGCUGGCGUGAGCUGUAAAGGAAGAGACACAGCUGACUAUGUAUCUGGACAGUUAGAUGGACAGAUACAUGAGGCAAGUGUGGAGUGUUACUAGCCGUUCCUCUCAUCCUCCAAUCAUGCGCAUACAAGGAGAUUGUAAAGCACCAAGACUUAAUCUACAUCAUCCAAUUCAAACCAGAAGAUCUCCACCCUUCUUAUCUUAUCUCUCAUGUUAGGGUUUCCAAAGGAAUACAAGUUGUAAAGCUCAUAUAAAAGCUUAGCAUGGUCGUUUGUAAACAGGUUAAGUGAGUAAGGGGGUUUCCCUUCUCCUUCAUGAAACUAAGUCUUGUUCUUGAAUCUAAACACCAAUCUCUAGUCUCUUAUUCUCUCAGUCUCUCUAGUCUCUGAAUCUUUGUUCCUAAGUCUUUUUAUACACUCUCAUUAAUUCCUCUUUCUAAAUUACCUAGAACAAGCUCUAAUCUUUCUCUAUUUGAGUUUAUACACACACACAUACAAUCAGAGUAAAGAUCUCUAUAAAAAUCAUAUGGUAUCAGAGCCAGGUUCAUCAGAACCUGAGCUGUAGCUUCUGCAAAUCACUUGCUCUCACCUCAGCUCAAAAUCCAAACCCUUGAAGAACUCCCCAUCCGUUCAGUUUCUUGUGAAGAAGAAAGGCUGAAGCUUGGCGAGUCUAUUGUUACCUCAUCCCGUCCUUCAGCCAGACAUACCAGUACCUGAUGAAGAGGUUGAUGGAAGCAAAGGAGGAUGAAGAGGCCUAGAUGUCUUCAAGUCAAAACUCCUUGUACUUGUCCUUGAAGAAACUCUCAUCUAUCCGGUUACAAGAAAUGAAGAUCCAUAGCUGUUGGCGGGUUGAUGAAUGAAGAAAGGAGGGGUCUUUUGAGUUGUUGGUACAAGAUGGUGGCUAUGUACUGGAAGAGAGAGAGAUGGGCGACAAGCUAGACUCUCAGAUACAACAAAAGCCAAGGCUGUGUCAUAAAAUGCAAAAGGAAUCAACCUGGUUCCUUGUUGUAAGCGAUUCUAUAAACCAUCUUGAUAAUGAGCUUGUGUUGUUGACUGAUUGUGAUGUUGUGAUGUGAUUGGAAACCUGAGGAUUGUUUAAAAGAUUGCUAAAAUGAAGUAGCUUUAGAAUCUGUCCCAGGAUGCUUUAAGAGUCUUGUUUGGGUAUUGAAAUUGUUUAAUAUGCUUAGCUCCGGUUCAUAGUAAUGCUUGUUAUGAUUAUAAAUCUGCUUGCAUACAUGGAGUGAAACCGAAUUUAAAGCUGUUGCAUAUAGUCUUGGGGCUGUCUUACAUUGAAGCAUUAGAUUCAUGUCUAAGUGCUGAGUAAAGAAGCUCUUAAGAGUGCCUAAGUAACUUGUCUUGAAUCUGUUAGGAUCUUGCUUGUACUUAGAGAUUUAGCUUGCAAAGAAUAGAACUUGAUAAUGCCUUGUGUCUAUCUGUUGCAUUGCUUGUGAUAUUGGGAAUCAAACUUGAUGAUUUAUUAAUCAAGAUUUGACAUCAAUACUAUUGAAAAUGGUUAAAUGCAUAAUGUCAGUUCUAAAUUAUCUUGUCUUGUAAGAUGAUAGAUUAUAUUAUCUAUUCAUGCUUGCUUUCAUGAGUUAGAAACUGAUUAAGAUUAAUGCAUACUGCCUUGUUGCUGCCUUGUAUUGUUGCAUUUAGAUUAAAGUCUAAGUUGCAUAUUGAGGAGUGAUUAAAAUUGCCUAAAU
rnacentral:lncRNA from 1 species